GUGGGCGUAGCUCAGUUGGUAGAGCUCCGGAUUGUGAUUCCGGCGGUCGUGGGUUCAAACCCCAUCGUCCACCCCA
rnacentral:tRNA from 11 species